rnacentral:rRNA from 1 species
AGUGAACGCUGGCGGUAGGCCUAACACAUGCGAGUCGAACGGCAGCACAGUAAGAGCUUGCUCUUACGGGUGGCGAGUGGCGGACGGGUGAGGAAUACAUCGGAAUCUACUUUUUCGUGGGGGAUAACGUAGGGAAACUUACGCUAAUACCGCAUACGACCUACGGGUGAAAGCAGGGGAUCUUCGGACCUUGCGCGAUUGAAUGAGCCGAUGUCGGAUUAGCUAGUUGGCGGGGUAAAGGCCCACCAAGGCGACGAUCCGUAGCUGGUCUGAGAGGAUGAUCAGCCACACUGGAACUGAGACACGGUCCAGACUCCUACGGGAGGCAGCAGUGGGGAAUAUUGGACAAUGGGCGCAAGCCUGAUCCAGCCAUGCCGCGUGGGUGAAGAAGGCCUUCGGGUUGUAAAGCCCUUUUGUUUGGAAAGAAGAGCAGCAGGUUAAUACCUCGCUGUUCUGACGGUACCCAAAGAAUAAGCACCGGCUAACUUCGUG